CAGUUAUAGUGUACAACAAACGUAAAUGAUUGAAAUUUUGCGACAUUUGAAUAUUCUUUUGUCGCAGUUGAUUCUGGACAUAGUCAUAGGAACCUAGUCUUUUGACGCAUUUGAUCCAUUCCGUGAUGCAAUUAAUCAAUUUUGUGACGCAGUUGAUUGGAGUUUCAGCGCAUCUGAUGGAAACAAUGCAUUGAUCGAGUAAAUGACACAUUUGAUUGUGAAAAUGACACAGUUGAGCAGGCAUAUGGUCAGAGAUGAGAAAAAAGUCCAUGGAUGUGGGCUUGGUGGAUGCCUACAUGUUCAAGGAAGGACCAAGGACAAAGGUGGGUCCAAAGGGGAUAUAAUAAAUUGAAGAUAGGUCCAAGUUCAAAGGACUAUUCAAACCCUUGAGAAGAGUGGAGAAAAUGUUGGAACUAUGAAAAGAUAUGACAAGUGAGGAAGGAUUACAAUAAUUAGAAGAUAUUUGAUGAUUUGUCUAAUGAUGGUGAUAAUGAUGCAUUGUUUCUUUCUAUUUAUGCUACUAGUGAUAACUAUUAGCUAAUGAUUCAAAUUGCUUCCACCAUGUGGAUUUUCAUGAGUAUUAUUUCUUGUCUCACUGAGCUUAUA